CCAAAAUACAACCCUGAUCCCCCCAGAGAGCUCUCGCAAGACCCAUAUACAUCAGCCAGCACCCAUGUGAGCUAAGAUCAGCUGUUGGGGCAGAUGAGUUCUGGGUCUCCUUUUGCUGUUCCAGGUGCUGACUUGCUCCUGGGAUGGCACGGUCAGUCUGACAGACACAGCGACGGAAGCGACUGUGUGCCACUUCAUCACGCCUCCUCCUUACAGAGUAACCACGCCCUGGCACCCUGUUUUCACUGUGGAUAGCAACGGCCAAUACUUGAUCCUCCAAGGAUAUGAGCCAUCUGGAAGCAUUAAAGCAGAGAGCGGAAGUGACCAAAACACCAUCUUUCUGUUUGAUGUCACACCCUGCCCAGAGACUUUCUCGCAGCCAGACGAGUGCCCACCUGACACUCUGGAACACCUGCCUUGGGACAGGCGAUGUGAUGUUUUCCUAAAGAACAGCUAUCAGCAGCUAUCAACCAUUAGCCAGCAGAUACCAGAGAGUUGGAGCCUGCUGAAGAUGUAUGCAGCAACCUUGCAAGGGAUGGGCCACGAAAAGUGAUGGGGCCGUGGCAGAAGUGUCGCAGAUGUACCUUCUCGGGCUGAGGCAUCACUCGCUGGGAUCCAGAGUGUGUUUUUGUGAGUCCUGGCAGUCACGGAGAGCCUGGUUGCUGUUUUGCUGGCAAACUGUUACAAUCGCCUGCUGUCCACCAGAGAGCAGCCAAGGGCCGUAGCCAACGCUGGCAGCUCCCGCGGAAGACCGCAGUCCUUUCUCCGAAGCGUCUGGAGUCAGAAGCACAAUAAACCACCAGCGACUUUCUCUUUUCUGUUGAACUGGGCGUGCUCCUAAUAAAUCUCCCGGAGGUUUCAUGAGCCAUCA